GAGAGGAGAGGAGAGGAAAACAUGAUUGCCAUAAUUUUCAGAUAUAAAUUAGCUGGACUCCCGGACCCAGAUUCCCCAGGCAUAAAAUUCAAUUGAGUAUCUCCAGUAGGCUGCAGAAAGGGGAGAGGAGACCCGUAGAUUAGCCCUCGGUCCACUGGGCCAAUCAGGAAGCGUCUGUUGUGGGUGUGACGCGUCUGUCGACGUAUCCUAUAUUACGAUUGGUUUACCAAGCUGCUUGUUAAAAGGAGCGCCUCUAUUUUGAGGACGUUUUAGGACAUCGUCAAGAUAUUGAAAUGACAACAGCUAUUGUAGAUAGCUAUGGAUGUGAAAGCGGAUCUAUUUAAAACCAAAUGAGAAAGCUGUGGAAUUGUUGACAAACUAACAAGUUAAAGGAGAUUCUGGUUAAUGUGUCAGCUGCUGGGGCUGCCACUGGCGCCAAACAACUGAUCUCUGUCCCAGGCACGCUGCUUCCUGGCUGGGGAGGGCUGUGUCAACACCUCCCUAAUGGUGGGACUGGUGGUGGGGGUACUGCUGGUUCUCACCACACUCACAGGUCUGUUCAAGUUGUGGAGGCCACGGCGUCAGUCUGCCUCUCGUCCCUUCCAACACAUCUCGAUACAGGACGAUUAUGUUGAUGAUGCUGACCCUCUGCUAGACUAAAUGAAUCAAUCACAGCUCCCAGCCCGACUAUACUGACCAGCCACAGAUCAUAACAACAAACCAUGCAGCAAAACAAGCAACAAACCAAAGCUCACCACCAUGCUCCCAACAACCAGUCAGAACUCAAAUGGGAAUAAAUAGGGAAUAGUGUCCUUUCAGACACAGCCAUACUCUUUUACAAGAGUUACAGAGCGGUAGUCAGAUUUCAGAUUUAUACACUCCUCAUUCUCUGUGGUACAAUACUUACAGUAUGGAGUAUUCAAAUAAAUAUGUACACUAUAAAUAAACAUAUUGAACCAUAAAUAGAUAAAACUAAAGAAAUAAGACACUAAAGAGAAGACUGGGGUUACUUGAAUUUGUCUGUAUACAGAGAAACCAUCUAAUAUGAUAUAACACGUGUUUAUAUAUUUGAAGAAAUGCUCUGUUAAUUUUUUUGCAAGACAAUCCUAUAAAGAAGAAUACAUGUUUGCUAGGAGAGCUUCUGGUAAAGGUAUGUAAAUUUGUAUUUUGAAGGGUUUAUUUCCUAAAGAGUACCGCUAUAUUGCAGAAGUAGCAGUAGUAAUUGUUUGAACAGCAGUGAUGGGUUUUGUUAGUUACUCUGUAGACUGCUGAGCCAGGGAGUGGAGUCAGAAACAGGACUGAAGCUAUGUUUCUGCUGUUUGUUAGUCAGUUAAUUUGAUUAUAUUUAGAAGUGUGUGUGUCUGUGUGUGCUGAGGUAAGCUAUAGCUCUGGUACUGUAUGGUUUCCUGUAGUGUUAAAAGGAGACAGACAAGCUAUAUUGUUCGAUUCAGGUCCUUUAUCUGAAAAUAAGUUAUUGAAGGAAAACAGUUUCAGUUUGUCUGAUUCUCUGGUCAAGCCACUGUGUGUGCGUGUGCCCGCGUGUGUGUGUUGGUAGAGAAAGGCUGUGUGCCUGUGUGUGUGUGUGUCGGUGUAGAGAAGUCAAAGAUCUGCUGUUACUAUGGUUACUAUACCAUAGUAACCAUAGUACUAUGAUUAAUAUGCUGUAACUAUGCUGUUAUUAUGGUUACUGCACAGUAACUUUACUGUUACUAUGUCAACCGCCCACCUCCAGGUGACUACUGAACUGGUCCUCAGGGUGUUUCUGCUCAUAUUGUCAUUGACUGACAUAUGAAGCGUAAAGUAAACCUAAAUGUUGUGUCCACAUUGUAUCAUUAUUUUGCAAAGCAUCUAUGAUUAAUCAUUACACUGGAUAUAACUGACGUGUGUGUGUGUGUGUGUGUGUGUGUGUGUGUGUGUGUGUGUGUGUGUGUGUGUGUGUGUGUGUGUGUGUGUGUGUGUGUGUGUGUGUGUGUGUGUGUGUGUGUGUGUGUGUGUGUGUGUGUGUGUGUGUGUGGGGAAAGAAGGGGAAAGAGUAUGUGUCAUUGGAACCACCAGGAAAAAAGAAAAUAACACAACCACACAUGUUGGGUAUGAAUAGUUUAUAUAUUCUUAAUUUCAGUCACAUUAUAAUGUAUUAAAAUGCAAAGAUAUAAAAUUAAAUAGAUACUGACUCAUGUAACAUUUGUAUAUUUUUCUGAUGAAACUACAUGUUUUAAAAUAUGGGUUAUCUUAUCUCUUAUUACCAAUAUCGCUAUAGAUACUACUACUAUAUCUGUCGUAUCUUAUAGUAUGUCUGAAUUGUCACAGGUUAAUAGUCUUUUCAGGAGGUAAUGUUACAUUAAUAAUCCAUCUCACAGCAUCAACUUUAGUGCAACAAUCUCCAAACAUUAGCAUCAGAGGGGUAUGUCACCAAGAAAGAUCAAUAAGUUAGCCUGUCAAACGUUGAACCCUCCAGAGGGGUAUACUACAAAGCUAGAUCAAGGAGUUAGCCGGUUAACUUGCCUGAAUAUUUUUUAA